GGGUCCUAAGAACUAGUUGAAGUCCUAAGCACCACGACCGGUUCUUCUUCGUUCUCCAAUGCGUGCUCCAAUAGUACAUCAUCAACUACUGCUCACAUCCAAGGAAUUGGAUGAUCAUCGCAAGGGGGAAAGCAAGCACAUACAACACACACAAUGCAAGGGUAAGCUAGGUAUAAAAAGCAUGUUAUACAAUCACACAAAGCAUGCAAAUAACCGUAACACAACAUAGACUAAGACUGAAUACUUCAUUUUGUUACCAAUGACCGACCACGUGAUUUGACCAUC
rnacentral:lncRNA from 1 species